AGAACAAUGGAACAAUAUUGACUCUGAAUUAAAGAGGCAGCUGUCUUUGCAAAGUGUGUUGUUUAUCAAGGUGCUUUGUACAGAGGGUUGUAAAUUUCCCCAAUUUAACCAGAUAAUUAGGAAGAAAAUACUUGAAGCUCCAUUUAAGUUUCUACAUCUCUGUUGGAAGGCCUUGCUGGUCAGAAGUUGCAGUCUAUCAAGUUCUGGCAGCUUUUUCCAAAGCUUGAAGGCAUGGGACAGCCCCCAUCCCCACCACAAGUGAGACUUCUUGCUCUCCUCCUGCACUUAUCUGGAGAAUGUCCCUGGGCCCAGUGGACUGACCUUAGCUGAAAGCUGUCUCUAAGCCUGGAUGCCUGAUUUAUCUCUAGAAAGACCCUUGGCACAGUUUCCUGCUAGAAGCCUUUCCCCUGCUGCAUAUAUGUUAACUAAGACCUGUUCUAGGAGCUCUGCUGUCAAAUCCUGCUGCCACAGAUGAAGCCUUAUGAUAGGAGAGUUUGACUUGGUGCAAAUUAGGAUUUGUCCCCAACCUCCCUAAUAUCAUAUAUUUCCUAUACUUUGGAAUAAAGCUGAGCUGAUUCAAUGAAUCACAGAGGGCUUUCUCCAUCAACCCACAGCCUUUCCAACCCUGUAUCCACUUCUACUUCCUCAAGUCUUGUGGACCAAUGAACCAAUGAUUCCAAGGAAGAAGCAGAACCACACAUCUCCAUUAAUGGGAUCUCACCUUCAUUUUCUUCCAUCUCAGGAAACUGGACCUUGUCCAACCUGCAGUUUGAAAAGACUUUGCAUUUUAUGUAGAAAUUGUCUUCUAUCACCUAAAGUUCC
rnacentral:lncRNA from 1 species